CGGAGGACUGUGGAACAGCCUCUCUGUGGGAGCUGCCCUCUGCCUCCGAAAGAGCCAACUAGUGAGGACACUCAGCCCCCAGCUCAGUGGGACCUGGAUUCCAGAGGCCCUGGCCCAGAUCUUCACGCAGCUGGUCCAGGACCUCGGUGGAGGCAGCAGUGGGGGCAGGGUGCAUGGAUAUCUUCCCCACUCAGGCCAGCCCGGAGGGAGUACGGGAGGCACUCACCGUCUUCAGAGCCACAAUGAACUCCUCCCGAGAGAUCCUCUGGUUCUCACCCCAGUCCACCUUGCUAAAUAUCUCCAGGAUCUUGAUCUUGCGUCUGCGAAGAAAAGGGAGUUCCUCAUUUUUCUUCCAACCUCACAACUGUGAUCCUCACAGUGGCACUAGAGCACCUGCCUGGCACAUCUUGGCCCUCGACAAACAUGCGUCCAUGAACGAAUGAACAAUGAGCUUUUUAAAAUGCCCCAUAGAUGGACUGCCAGGAAUCAUCCCUCCUCGGGUGAUUUUAAGAUACGGUCACAAGUUCCUCCAUUAUUCCCCUCUGGGGUAGAGCCUGACUCCCCUCCCCUCGAGCGUGGACCGCACUUGAUGACUUGCGUCUGUCAAAUAGAAUACGGGGAAAGUGAUCAUGUGAUUCUCCUGAAACCACGAUCUCCUGAGAUGAGGUCAUUAGAGGCAUUGCAGGCCUCCUCCUUGCUCUGUCUCUUGGACCGUUCCCUCUGGGAGACACUGGCUGCCGGGUGGUGAGGACGUUCGAGCAGCCCUGUGGAGAGGUCCCUGUGGCCAGGAGCUGAGGUCCCCCUGCCAACAGCCACGUGAGCGAGCUCGUGUGGGGGUGGAUCUUCCUGCCUCCGUCAAGCCUCCAGAUGUCUGUGGCACGUGCCUGUCACUUGCGAUGAAAGCCAGAGCCACCCGCGAAGCUCCCCCCAGAUUCCUGACUCUCAGAAACAGUGGGGUAACAAACAUUUGUGGCUUUAAAUGUUUGGGGACAUUGGUUAUGCAGCAAUAAAGAACCAGUACACACCCCUUUGGGGACUUCUCUGCUCCUCUUUGAAAUGGGGCCAACGACCCCUAUCCUGAGGGAAGGAAAUGACAGUACGCCCCUAGCACCUCAGGUGUCUUCGUCAGCAAAUGGGGCAGCUCACCUUGGUGGCUUUGGU